rnacentral:rRNA from 1 species
GACGAACGCUGGCGGCGUGCUUAACACAUGCAAGUCGAACGGAAAGGCCUGUCCUUCCUUGUGUUGGACGGGUACUCGAGUGGCGAACGGGUGAGUAACACGUGAGUGAUCUGCCCCCAACUUGGGUAUAAGCCUGGGAAACUGGGUCUAAUUCCCGAUAGGACUGCAGGGUGGUGCCUGUGGUGGAAAACGAUUUUCUAGUGGUUGGGGAUGAGCUCGCGGCCUAUCAGCUUGUUGGUGGGGUAAUGGCCUACCAAGGCGGCGACGGGUAGCCGGCCUGAGAGGGUGGACGGCCACAUUGGGACUGAGAUACGGCCCAGACUCCUACGGGAGGCAGCAGUGGGGAAUAUUGCCCAAUGGGCGGAAGCCUGAUGCAGCGACGCCGCGUGGGGGAUGACGGCCUUCGGGUUGUAAACUCCUUUCGACCGCGAGGAAGCCGCCUGGUUGGAAGGGUGGUGACGGUAGUGGUAGAAGAAGCACCGGCUAACUACGUG